rnacentral:rRNA from 1 species
UACGUAGGGGGCAAGCGUUGUCCGGAUUUAUUGGGCGUAAAGAGCGUGUAGGCGGCCUGGAAGGUCAGCUGUGAAAACUCGAGGCUCAACCUCGAGACGUCGGUUGAAACCACCUGGCUAGAGUCCGGAAGAGGAGAGUGGAAUUCCUGGUGUAGCGGUGAAAUGCGCAGAUAUCAGGAGGAACACCGGUGGCGAAGGCGGGUCUCUGGGCAGUAACUGACGCUGAGGAGCGAAAGCGUGGGGAGCGAACAGG